AGUCGAGCGAUGAACCCUUCGGGGUGGAUUAGCGGCGGACGGGUGAGUAACACGUGGGUAACCUGCCUCAAAGAGGGGAAUAGCCUCCCGAAAGGGAGAUUAAUACCGCAUAAUAUGUUCUGAUCGCAUGAUCUUGACAUCAAAGGAGUAAUCCGCUUUGAGAUGGACCCGCGGCGCAUUAGCUAGUUGGUGAGGUAACGGCUCACCAAGGCGACGAUGCGUAGCCGACCUGAGAGGGUGAUCGGCCACAUUGGAACUGAGACACGGUCCAGACUCCUACGGGAGGCAGCGGUGGGGAAUAUUGCGCAAUGGGGGAAACCCUGACGCAGCAACGCCGCGUGAAUGAUGAAGGCCUUCGGGUUGUAAAGUUCUGUCUUCUGGGACGAUAAUGUCGGUACCAGAGGAGGAAGCCACGGCUAACUACGUGCCAGCAGCCGCGGUAAUACGUAGGUGGCAAGCGUUGUCCGGAUUUACUGGGCGUAAAGGAUGCGUAGGCGGACAUUUAAGUCAGAUGUGAAAUACCCGAGCUUAACUUGGGUGCUGCAUUUGAAACUGGGUGUCUAGAGUGCAGGAGAGGUAAGUGGAAUUCCUAGUGUAGCGGUGAAAUGCGUAGAGAUUAUGAAGAACACCAGUGGCGAAGGCGACUUACUGGACUGUAACUGACGCUGAGGCAUGAAAGCGUGGGGAGCAAACAGAUUAGAUACCCUGGUAGUCCACGCCGUAAACGAUGAAUACUACGUGUCGGGGGUCGAACCUCGGUGCCGCAGUUAACACAAUAAGUAUUCCGCCUGGGGAGUACGAUCGCAAGAUUAAAACUCAAGGAUUGACGGGGGCCCGCCACAGCAGCGGA
rnacentral:rRNA from 1 species